UGAGCAAUGUCUUAGCA
rnacentral:rRNA from 1 species